rnacentral:tRNA from 1 species
GAGGGUAUAGCUCAGUGGCAGAGUGCUUGCUUAGCAUGCAGGAGGUCCUGGGUUCCAGCCCAGUACCUCCA